GAGUUUUGAUGGACCGAAGACACUCGAAAACUACUAGAGUCAAUGACAACUGGGAUCUUGAGCAUACAACCAGUAAUAUCCUGAACAAUAAUCAUCUGAUGAAGAUCGAAUACUUCCACUCUCAUCUCUAUCCACUUACGUGAUCAUUGUAUGAUUAAAUCAGAAAUCUACUUUUAUCACAGAGAGAUUAUAAUGGGCAACAAUAUUCAAAGUGAUGCAGAGAGACGAUAUAAAGCAGAGGAGGAACGCAAAACAGCUGAAGCUGAGAAAGCAGCACUCCAACAACAAUAUUAUAUCUUACAGCAAGAAAGAGAUUUGGAGAAAAUGAAACAAGAAGAAAAGAGAAAAAUAGAUGAGAAUAACAGAUUUAAAGAACAAGAAGAAAGGAACAGAAUUCAACUAGAAAAGCAAAAGUCACAAAAUUAAAACAAUAGCAAAUAAUUUUGUUUUACGAAAUGAAUUAAUGAGAGAUUGAAUACUUGAACACAUUCUGUAAUGAUGUUCAUUUGCCUUAAAAUCUCAAAAUAUUGUGUCAGAUGUUUUACAUAUUCUUUAAUGAUUUGUUAACCUUUAUUUAUGUAUCAGAGAAGACCCAUACUGUAUUAUUUGCACCAAAACACUAUGGGGUGGUUUCCCGGAUAGGGAUUAGACUAGUCCUAGAUCAAAAUAAAUGUAAGAGCUGUCCAAACUGAAAACAGCUUGCACUGACAUAUCUUAAAAUUGAUCAGUGCCCUUUGUUUUCUCUCAAAACAAAUGUUUUUAGUAAGGCAUGUUUGUUAAAACUAUAUUUUCUAAUUAAACUAAGGUCUAGUCCUGUCUCAAGAUAAUCCCUGUCCGGGAAACCACCCCUAAAAGGUGUUUAAGGAGUGCUCACCUACACUAUAAAAACAUCAGCAUUCUGCAACCAAGCAACCAAGUUGUUUUAACUUUAUUUUACUUUUUUUUUUACAGUGUAGGCUAUACUUUAAAGGCUGCUUUUUAUAGAUCCUGAACCACACUGUAAAAGUGAAAGCUUGCUGCUCUACUAAAAAAAAGUUAAAUUGGUAACACCUAAAAAAAAUUUCUCACUUUAAGGUUAACAAGGAUUAAAUUAAGCGGCAUUUAGAGCUAAUCCUGGGUUUGUUGAUCCCAGUUAAAUUUUAUUCAAGUUGUGUUGAACUUGCACCACUUAAAUUUUAACAAUGAAUAACAAAAUCUUGGAUUAAAACUUUACCCUGUAUUAAACCGUCUUCUGUGAUUUAUUUUGUCAUGAUGAAUUUGCCGUUGCAACAAUGUUGAUGUUGUCAUUCAAAAAGGAAAUAAACAGUUU